GCAGCACCCCUGCCUCUAUUGGAAGCUGCCACAUUCUCCAUGGAGGGAGAAGCUCACUCCAGUGCCACUCCUACCCAAAUGAAGUACGCAGUAAAAGCUUAUUGACUUAACUCCUGACUGAGAUCUCCCAGAGAGAGGAUCCCAACAACAGCAGAAAGUCUUCCUACCCACUGAUUCCUUCUCCAGAAAAAUUCAGACUUCAGUGAAGAUGACUGAUUCCAAGGAGCUCUCAUUCAUGCAAGUCCUACUGAUUGAAGUGACUGCAUUUUUCCUUCAAGCUGCCCUCCUCUUACUUCUUUACAUUUUACUCAGGAGGCAAAUUGCCAACUGCGUUCAAAUGGUGAAAGCUGCAAGCACCCUGGUCCAGGAACUGAAGAAGCCAAAAAGUAAUACUGAGUCACCUGCCUCAGAAAAGACAAAGUGUAAAAGGAGUGCUCCAGCUUCCCAGAAUUAUAGGGACGAACGCCACAGUGGCAGUGAUUCCUCCUCAGAGAGCUCUGACAGCUCAGAAGGAUAUCCUUCAACUUCCACCAGCAAGGCACCCAGAGAUGUGAAUUACAGCACCCUGGUCUUUCCAGCCACUGAUUGCCAAAGGGCUUUGUCUCCUAAGAACUAUGAGAACACAAAGGCAGCCGGCGAUUAUGUCAAUGUGGAUCCCAAGAACUGUAAAAAGAAUGCCUGGAAUUUCAGUUACUCCUCUGAGCCAGUGGAAUACACAGAAGUGGCUAUGUGAAUUCUGACAACCAAAAGGGACUCGCUUCUCCACGGUCUUGGAUUUGAGUUAAAAGAAAAUAUCUUAAUAAUACAGAAAAUAUCUUAAUAAUAAUAUCUUAAUAAUAAUAGGGGACAGCUGGGUGACUCAAUAGAAUGAAAACCAGACUUAGAGACAGGAGGUCCUGGAUUCAAAUCUAGUCUCACAUUCCCUAGCUGUCACUUAACCCCCAUUGCCUUAGCCCUUACCCCCUUUGCCUUGAAACCAAUACAUAGUAUCAAUUCUAAGAUAGAUGGUAAGGGUUUAAAAAAUAAAUAACAUAACAAGAAGGAUUCUGGUUAGAGC
rnacentral:lncRNA from 1 species